GGUGAGUAUGCCAGAGACGGACUGUACUUGGCUGACUGCGGGUUGUAACUUGGAGAGGUAGGGCUAUAGCUUGGUGAUGUGGGACUGUAACUUGGUGAGGUUGGACUGUACCCAGGAGAAGUGGGGCUAUAAGCGGGUGAAGUGGGGCUAUAGGAAGGAGAUGUGGGGCUAUAGGAAGGAGAUGUGGGGCUGUACGAAGGAGAUGUAGGGCUGUAUGAUGGAGAUGUCGGGCUGUAUGAUGGAGAAGUGGGGCUAUAUGCAGGAGAAGUGGGGCUAUAUGCAGGUGAAGUGGGGCUAUAUACGGGUGAAGUGGGGCUGUAGCUAGGUGAAGUGGGACUGUAACUGGGGGAUGUGGGACUGUAACUUGGAGAUGUAGGGCUGUAACUUGGAGAGGUAGGGCUAUAGCUUGGUGAGGUUGGAGAAUAUGAGGGGCUGGUAGGAGAGUAGGCUGGACUUGUCGGACUGUAUCCUGGUGAGCUAGGACUGUAAGUAGGUGAUGUGGGGCUGUAACCAG
rnacentral:lncRNA from 1 species